rfam:Nodularia spumigena CCY9414 genome.
GGUCAAGCUAAUAAGGGCUUACGGUGGAUACCUAGGCACACAGAGGCGAAGAAGGACGUGGUUACCGACGAUAUACUCCGGGGAGUUGGAAGCAAACAUUGAGCCGGAGGUUUCCGAAUGGGGCAACCCUAAAUACUACCUGUUGAAUAUAUAGACAGGAAAGAGCCAACCCAGCGAACUGAAACAUCUUAGUAGCUGGAGGAAGAGAAAUCAAAAGAGAUUCCCUGAGUAGUGGUGAGCGAAAGGGGAAAAGCCUAAACCAAAGGAUUUAUCCUUUGGGGUAGUGGGACAGCGAUAUCGAAUCUGGCGGUUAGACGAAGCAGCUAAAUACUGCACCAAAGAAGGUGAAAGUCCUGUAGUCGAAAACUCAAGGAUAGUAGCUGAAUCCCGAGUAGCAUGGGGCACGAGGAAUCCCAUGUGAAUCAGCGAGGACCAUCUCGUAAGGCUAAAUACUACUGUGUGACCGAUAGUGAACCAGUACCGCGAGGGAAAGGUGAAAAGAACCCCGGAAGGGGAGUGAAAUAGAACAUGAAACCGUAAGCUUACAAGCAGUGGGAGGACGAUUGAACGUCUGACCGCGUGCCUGUUGAAGAAUGAGCCGGCGACUUAUAGGCACUGGUAGGUUAAGGCGAGAAUGCCGGAGCCAAAGGGAAACCGAGUCUGAAAAGGGCGCUCAAUCAGUGUUUAUAGACCCGAACCCUGGUGAUCUAACCAUGGCCAGGAUGAAGCUUGGGUAACACCAAGUGGAGGUCCGAACCGACUGAUGUUGAAAAAUCAGCGGAUGAGCUGUGGUUAGGGGUGAAAUGCCAAUCGAACCAGGAGCUAGCUGGUUCUCCCCGAAAUGUGUUUAGGCGCAGCGGUAAUGAUUAAAUCUGGGGGGUAAAGCACUGUUUCGGUGCGGGCUGGGAGACCGGUACCAAAUCGAGACAAACUCAGAAUACCCAGAGAACACAUUGCCAGUGAGACAGUGGGGGAUAAGCUUCAUUGUCAAGAGGGAAACAGCCCAGACCACCAGCUAAGGUCCCCAAAUCAUCACUAAGUGAUAAAGGAGGUGGGAUUGCAUAGACAACUAGGAGGUUUGCCUAGAAGCAGCCAACCUUAAAAGAGUGCGUAAUAGCUCACUAGUCAAGCGAUCCUGCGCCGAAAAUGAACGGGGCUAAGUGAUGUACCGAAGCUGUGGGAUUAAUCUAGUAUUAAUCGGUAGGGGAGCGUUCCGUAAUAGGUAGAAGCAGUAGCGGCGAGCAGCUGUGGACGAAACGGAAGUGAGAAUGUCGGCUUGAGUAGCGCAAACAUUGGUGAGAAUCCAAUGCCCCGAAACCCUAAGGGUUCCUCCGCCAGGUUCGUCCACGGAGGGUUAGUCGGGUCCUAAGGCGAGGUCGAAGGGCGUAGUCGAUGGACACAGGGUGAAUAAUCCCUGACUACUAUGUGGGAGCAUUGCGAGGGACGCAUGAAAGAUAGCCAUACCCUGAUUGGUUUGGGAGGAGUUUACGAACUCCGCGUGGUGAAGGAUAGUGUCAAGAAAAGCUCGUAAUGUGAUGAAAACAUAGUACCCGUACCCGAAACCGACACAGGUAGGGAGGUUGAGAAUACCAAGGGGCGCGAGAUAACUCUCUCUAAGGAACUCGGCAAAAUGGCCCCGUAACUUCGGGAGAAGGGGUGCCCACCUCAGACGUGGGUCGCAGUGAAGAGAUCCAGGCGACUGUUUACCAAAAACACAGGUCUCCGCCAACUCGAAAGAGGACGUAUGGGGGCUGACGCCUGCCCAGUGCCGGAAGGUUAAGGAAGUUGGUCAGGGGUUCGCCUUGAAGCUGACGACCGAAGCCCCGGUGAACGGCGGCCGUAACUAUAACGGUCCUAAGGUAGCGAAAUUCCUUGUCGGGUAAGUUCCGACCCGCACGAAAGGCGUAACGAUCUGGAUGGUGUCUCAGAGAGAGACUCGGCGAAAUAGGAAUGUCUGUGAAGAUACGGACUGCCUGCACCUGGACAGAAAGACCCUAUGAAGCUUUACUGUAGCCUGGAAUUGUGUUCGGGCUUCGCUUGCGCAGGAUAGGUGGGAAGCGAAGAAGUAUCCCUUGUGGGGGAUAUGGAGCUAACGGUGAGAUACCACUCUGGCGAAGCUAGAAUUCUAACCCAUGACCGUAAGCCGGUCAGGGAACAGUUUCAGGUGGGCAGUUUGACUGGGGCGGUCGCCUCCUAAAAAGUAACGGAGGCGCGCAAAGGUUCUCUCAGCACGCUUGGAAACCGUGCGGCGAGUGUAAAGGCAAAAGAGAGCUUGACUGCGAGAGAUACAACUCAAGCAGGGACGAAAGUCGGCCUUAGUGAUCCGACGGCACAGCAUGGAAUGGCCGUCGCUCAACGGAUAAAAGUUACUCUAGGGAUAACAGGCUGAUCUCCCCCAAGAGUCCACAUCGACGGGGAGGUUUGGCACCUCGAUGUCGGCUCAUCGCAACCUGGGGCGGAAGUACGUCCCAAGGGUUGGGCUGUUCGCCCAUUAAAGCGGUACGUGAGCUGGGUUCAGAACGUCGUGAGACAGUUCGGUCCAUAUCCGGUGCAGGCGCAAGAGCAUUGAGAGGAGCCUUCCUUAGUACGAGAGGACCGGGAAGGACGCACCGCUGGUGUACCAGUUAUCGUACCAACGGUAAACGCUGGGUAGCCAAGUGCGGAGCGGAUAACCGCUGAAAGCAUCUAAGUGGGAAGCCCACCUCAAGAUGAGUGCUCUCACUACAUAAGUAGGUAAGGUCACGGGCAGAACACCCGUUUAUAGGCUCUAAGUGGAAGUACAGUAAUGUAUGAAGCUGAGGUGUACUAACAGACCGAGGGCUUGACCUC